rnacentral:rRNA from 1 species
UACAGAGGGGGCAAGCGUUGUUCGGAAUUACUGGGCGUAAAGCGCGUGUAGGCAGCUUGGCAAGUCGGGUGUGAAAGCCCUGGGCUCAACCUAGGAAGUGCACUCGAAACUGCUUCGCUUGAGUAUCGGAGAGGAAAGCGGAAUUCUCGGUGUAGAGGUGAAAUUCGUAGAUAUCGAGAGGAACACCAGUGGCGAAGGCGGCUUUCUGGACGAUCACUGACGCUGAGACGCGAAAGCGUGGGGAGCAAACAGG